UACGGAGGGUGCGAGCGCUAAUCGGAAUUACUGGGCGUAAAGCGCGCGUAGGCGGCUUGAUAAGCCGGUUGUGAAAGCCUCGGGCUCAACCUGGGAACGGCAUCCGGAACUGUCAGGCUAGAGUACAGGAGAGGAAGGUAGAAUUCCCGGUGUAGCGGUGAAAUGCGUAGAGAUCGGGAGGAAUACCAGUUGCGAAGGCGGCCUUCUGGACUGACACUGACGCUGAGGUGCGAAAGCGGGGGUGGCAAACAGG
rnacentral:misc_RNA from 1 species